AAAGAGUGAACCAGAGGGAGGAGAGGAGGACACGGAGAUGAGAGAGCGCGAUCGAGAGAAUGGAGAGUGAGAGGGGGUCACCGCCGCAACGUCGCUGCAGCCGCCGCCAUUGCCGUCGCAGAGCAGGGAGCCCGGAGGGGAGAAAGAGACGAUUUGCAGACAAGAUGGAGAGAGAGGACGAAGAUGCGAUGCAAGAGAGGAGGCUGUUCCGCCGUGCACUCUCGUCGCUCCUGGGGUCGAUUGAAGCCGCCGCCGCAACUAGGGCUUGCCGUGCUCCUGGGGUCGAUCUCUGCGCUUCUCAUCGUUGUCUCUGUGCUCACGUCGUCGAUUAGAAAGGGAGCUCAAAGAGUUAGGUGUGACACUUCCAAAGGACGCAUUCGAACUGAUUUUUGUUUUCCUCCAAGAGUGGGACAAACUCCACUUUUGCCCAAAAUUUCAGCCACGAGGCUGCUGGACAUGUAAUUUUGAAUCUUGGCAAAUAGACAUUCUGCACAUAGGAAGCUGCAAUACAUAUCAAAGUUAGAGAGAAGUGUAACUUCAUUUCAGGAUAAUAUUGAGGAUGAUAAUAAAGAUUAAGCUGAUUAUUAUUGUGGUUUAUUGGCUAAGAUAGAGUAGUGUUAGGAAUGGAUACAUGUAUGGUUGACUAAUGCCUUUUAUUAGAAGAUACUUAUGUAAGAUAUAAUAUUUUAGUUUUUCGUAGAGUAUUAGUAGUAAAUUCUAAAUGUAUCAUGAUUAUUUUGGUAUGACUAUGCUUACUUUAGUAUGAGAUGUAUGAAUAU